rnacentral:lncRNA from 1 species
CUUUUUGAUGAUGACAAAACAUUGAGUAUAUGUAAAGUGAAUUGCACAACAAACAAGGAAAUUUAUGAUAAAAUUUUGAAAUGAAUUCUAGUGUCUGGUUAUUUAAUUUAUCCAAACUUGAAAGGUGUGAAACAAUAAAUUUCGAAGUUAGAGCUCCCCCUUUCAUUUGGAAUUAUAUAAGCCUUCAUGUCAUGCAAUCAAUUGUUUGGCUUAUAUGUCUUU